GCCGGGAUGGUGAAACGGUAGACACGCUGGCUUCAGGUGUCAGUGAGCGCAAGCUCGUGUGGGUUCAACUCCCACUUCCGGCA
rnacentral:tRNA from 1 species